UACGGGGGGGGGCAAGCGGUUGUUCGGAAUUACUGGGCGUAAAGGGCUCGUAGGCGGCCCACUAAGUCCGACGUGAAAUCCCCAGGCUUAACUUGGGAACUGCGUCGGAUACUGGUGGGCUUGAAUCCGGGAGAGGGAUGCGGAAUUCCAGGUGUAGCGGUGAAAUGCGUAGAUAUCUGGAGGAACACCGGUGGCGAAGGCGGCAUCCUGGACCGGCAUUGACGCUGAGUGAGCGAAAGCCAGGGGGAGCAAAACGGGG
rnacentral:rRNA from 1 species